CAGUAACGGCGAGUGAAGCGGUAACAGCUCAAAUUUGAAAUCUGGCCUCACGGUCCGAGUUGUAAUUUGUAGAGGAUGCUUCGAGCAUGGUCUGGCCUAAGUUCCUUGGAACAGGACGUCAUAGAGGGUGAGAAUCCCGUAUGCGGUCAGGUGCCUACGCUCAUGUGAAGCUCCUUCGACGAGUCGAGUUGUUUGGGAAUGCAGCUCAAAAUGGGUGGUAAAUUUCAUCUAAAGCUAAAUAUUGGCCAGAGACCGAUAGCGCACAAGUAGAGUGAUCGAAAGAUGAAAAGCACUUUGGAAAGAGAGUUAAACAGUACGUGAAAUUGUUGAAAGGGAAGCGCUUGCAACCAGACUUGCGCGCGGCCGAUCAUCCGGUGUUCUCACCGGUGCACUCGGCCGUGCUCAGGCCAGCAUCGGUUUCGGCGGUUGGAUAAAGGCCUCAGGAAUGUGGCUCCUCUCGGGGAGUGUUAUAGCCUGGGGUGCAAUGCAGCCUGCUGGGACCGAGGACCGCGCUUCGGCUAGGAUGCUGGCGUAAUGGUUGUAAGCGGCCCGUCUUGAAACACGGACCAAGGAGUCUAACAUCUAUGCGAGUGUUUGGGUGUCAAACCCAUACGCGUAAUGAAAGUGAACGGAGGUGAGAACCCUUAAGGGUGCAUCAUCGACCGAUCCUGAUGUCUUCGGAAGGAUUUGAGUAAGAGCAUAGCUGUUGGGACC
rnacentral:rRNA from 1 species